GGGAUCAGGCAAAAGCAGGUCCUGAAGGCAGGAUCCUGAAGAUCAGGCACCACCUGACAGAAUUCUCAAGCACCUGACUCAUCACCUCUGCAGUGCAUCCCUUUCCAGAAGUCCACUCUCCUGAUUCACCACCAGUGGAAGUUUUAACAAUGGAAACACCAUCUGUGCAAGGUGUCCACAUUGCUAGCUGGGCGGUGAAUGAUUCAGCUCCAAAAUCCCAUUUGAUUGCCUGCUCUUUCCAGACACAACUGCAGCAAACUGGAUUGUCUAGACACAGAUGAUGAGACAGAGUUUAGGGUGCAAGAAGCUAACUAGGGAUCAACACCUGUGUAAGGAAGCAGGUGGAAGCACAAUUGAAGUUGAGAAAGAUGAAGAGGUUGAACUGCCCUGCAGGCCAGAUAGAGCCUUGCCAAACCAGUGGGGAACUCGGAGGAAGUCCUGCCUGCCAGUUUCCCAUGUGGAGCCGAAACAGUCGUGCUUUUAUCUCUCCACCUUGCUCAGUCACCAGAUGCAGGCCACGCCCAGAAGGGUAUGUUUUUCUCUGCAGCUCAGACUGAUGUUGAGGAGCUGGGAGCUGGAAGCCACCUGCUGACUGCACUCCCUGCAGCUGGUCAGCCCAUCCUUCUCGAGGGGCAUCUGAAUGGCAUCUUCAUCAGGUCUACAAUUUUAUGUACAUGCCACAUUCUGGGCUUUCCCACUUUGAAGCAAUUAUCAGUUAUGAAUGUUAGGAACACUUUGUACAA
rnacentral:lncRNA from 10 species